rnacentral:rRNA from 1 species
AUUGAACGCUGGCGGCAUGCCUUACACAUGCAAGUCGAACGGUAACGGGUCCUUCGGGAUGCCGACGAGUGGCGAACGGGUGAGUAAUAUAUCGGAACGUGCCCAGUAGCGGGGGAUAACUGCUCGAAAGAGCAGCUAAUACCGCAUACGACCUGAGGGUGAAAGGGGGGGAUCGCAAGACCUCCCGCUAUUGGAGCGGCAGAUAUCAGAUUAGCUAGUUGGUGGGGUAAAGGCCUACCAAGGCAACGAUCUGUAGUUGGUCUGAGAGGACGACCAGCCACACUGGGACUGAGACACGGCCCAGACUCCUACGGGAGGCAGCAGUGGGGAAUUUUGGACAAUGGGCGCAAGCCUGAUCCAGCAAUGCCGCGUGCAGGAAGAAGGCCUUCGGGUUGUAAACUGCUUUUGUCAGGGAAGAAAUCUUCUGGGCUAAUACCCCGGGAGGAUGACGGUACCCGAAGAAUAAGCACCGGCUAACUACGUGCCAGCCGCCGCGGUAA